CCUACGGGUGGCAGCAGUGAGGAAUAUUGGGCAAUGGACGAGAGUCUGAACCAGCCAAGUAGCGUGAAGGAUGACUGCCCUAUGGGUUGUAAACUUCUUUUAUAAAGGAAUAAAACGAGGCACGUAUGCCUUUUUGCAUGUACUUUAUGAAUAAGGAUCGGCUAACUCCGUGCCAGCAGCCGCGGUAAUACGGAGGAUCCGAGCGUUGUCCGGAUUGAUUGGGUUUAAAGGGAGCGUAGAUGGGUUGUUAAGUCAGUUGUGAAUGUUUGCGGCUCAACCGUAAAAUUGCAAUUGAUACUGGCAGUCUUGAGUACAGUUGAGGUAGGCGGAAUUCGUGGUGUAGCGGUGAAAUGCUUAGAUAUCACGAAGAACCCCGAUUGCGAAGGCAGCUUACUAAACUGUGACUGACAUUGAUGUUCGAAAGUGUGGGUAUCAAACAGGAUUAGAUACCCCGGUAGUC
rnacentral:rRNA from 1 species